CAUUGGAAGGAUUAACAGAUUGAUAGCCCUUUCUCAAUUCCAUGGAUGAUGAUACAUGGACCUUCUUAGUUGAUGGAGCAAUCUACCUGGUUAACUCCCAUAACAAUUGAGACUCUAGCAUGUUAACUACUUAUGCAACCCCCACAAGCAGACUGCGUCCUCUAACUUCUUACAGGGACAAAUGGCAUCCAGCCAUCUGAGACUGAGCAAUAAAAUGUCCUUGAUGCCCUU
rnacentral:rRNA from 1 species